CACCGGGCGCUUUCAUCGCCUUUGUCAUUAUCACUGUCGUUAAGGUUUUGGUGAUAAUUGCCAUACCAGCAGCUUUUGUUGGAUAUCGAAUAAAAGGAAAACAUGCAAGUUUGGACAAGGAAAAAACAGUGUACGAAAAUGUUCAGGUCAUAAGCGUGAACACCACUUAAGGAUCAGAAUUCAACCGAUGAUGCUGCAGCUCCUUCUCCGUCCUCCAUCUACAGCUUGAUCGAAGUUGGGUCCAUUAAAUCCACUGAGGACGGAGACACGGCUCUGCCUGAACAUCUGGAAUUAUCUUCCACAUUCUGCCUUUUGGACGAUGUCCAGUAUUAUUGUUUCUUGCGAGUCAUGUGAUAUUUUCCCUGGGAAGAUUUGGGGAUUUUUUCGACCAGAACCAGAACCAGGAGCAUUUAGAACAGCUCCGCCCACUUUAAAAC